rnacentral:rRNA from 1 species
AGUGAACGCUGGCGGUAGGCCUAACACAUGCAAGUCGAACGGCAGCACAGUAAGAGCUUGCUCUUACGGGUGGCGAGUGGCGGACGGGUGAGGAAUACAUCGGAAUCUACUUUUUCGUGGGGGAUAACGUAGGGAAAUUUACGCUAAUACCGCAUACGACCUACGGGUGAAAGCAGGGGAUCUUCGGACCUUGCGCGAUUGAAUGAGCCGAUGUCGGAUUAGCUAGUCGGCGGGGUAAAGGCCCACCAAGGCGACGAUCCGUAGCUGGUCUGAGAGGAUGAUCAGCCACACUGGAACUGAGACACGGUCCAGACUCCUACGGGAGGCAGCAGUGGGGAAUAUUGGACAAUGGGCGCAAGCCUGAUCCAGCCAUACCGCGUGGGUGAAGAAGGCCUUCGGGUUGUAAAGCCCUUUUGUUGGGAAAGAAAAGCAGCAGGUUAAUACCCCGCUGUUCUGACGGUACCCAAAGAAUAAGCACCGGCUAACUUCGUG